CUUAAGAUCCUUUCCUUUAUCAGAUAACCUGAUGACAGCGUGCCUAGGCGAUGAUCUCUUUGUGAUGAAUUUCCCAGGUGUUCUUUGAGCUUCUUGUAUUUGGAUGUCUAGGUCUCUAGCAAGACCAGGGAAGUUUUCUUCAAUUAUUCCCACAAAUAUGUUUUCCAAACUUUCAGAUUUCUCUUAUUCCUCAGGAAUGCCGACUAUUCUUAAGUUUGAUUGUUUAACAUAGUCCUAGACUUCUUGGUGGUUGGUUCAUAUUUUCUUCUUCUUUUUUCUUUGUCUUUGUUGGAUUUGGUUAAUUUGAAAACCUUGCCUCCAAGCUCUGAAGUUCUUUCUUCUGCUCAUUUGAUUCUAUUGCUGGGACUUUCCAGAGUAUUUUGCAUUUCUGUGAGUGCAUUCAUUGUCUCCUGAAGUUUUGAUUGUUUUUUUGUUUAUGCUAUCUAUUUUACUGAAAAUUUCUCCCCGCAUUUCUUGUAUCAUUUUUUGGAUUUCCUUAAAUUGGGCUUUGCCUUUCUCUGGUGCCUCCCUUAUAAGCUUAAUAACGAGCCUUCUGAAUUCUCUUUCAGCCAGCCAGCAAGUCUACCAGGCUCCAGACUGGUACUGGGGGUUGUCUGCACAGAGUCCUGUGAUGUGAACUGUCUGUGGGUCUCUCAGCUGUGGAUACCAGCACCUGCUCCCGUGGAGGUGGCACAGGAAUGAAAUGAACUCUGUAAACUUGAAGGGCCAUAGAUAUACCCAUCUCAUUUGGGACCACAAAGGCAGUAUGCCUUUGAAGUCAGAUGGCCUGGUCAGUCCAUGCUCUGCCUAG
rnacentral:lncRNA from 10 species